AGGUGAUUCUUUUUAUAUGCCCUUCUGAUCCCAAGUAUGGCAGAAGGAUAUAAAGGUCACCAAGAAUAAUUUGGAGGUUGCCAAGGACUUAUUUAAAAGUGUUUUCAAGUCCGACCGAGAACUCUGACAUUU
rnacentral:snoRNA from 1 species